CUGUAAAUCAAAUCUCGGGUUUAUAUCGAUUCACUUGUUCGAUUCAUAUGUUCUCGUUUCUAUAGUAACGGCUCUUUCACAGGGGCGUCGCUGGUGGAUGUGCUACGUUAUCCGAGCCUCGUCGAUGAUUUGACGCUUUCUGCGAGGACAUGUUUGUUUACCACUUACGGAAGGAGUCUCCAAUUUCGGCAUUUUGUGACAAUCGAAGGCCUGGAAUAGCAGUGUGUGGUUCUGAUGUCUCUUGUCGUCUCUGGUCAGAUGGACUUCAACUUAUUUGUGGUUGAGCAGCCGGCGGGAGUGUGUGUGCACGG